rnacentral:lncRNA from 1 species
UUUGGAUAAGUAUAAUAAUCAGAAUAGAGAGUUACAACUGAUAAUAAUUUGAAGAAAACUUUUGAACCAAUGACAUUAGAUAGCAAAAUUAACUACAAAUGUAAUUUAGAGUCCAUACAUCAGUGGUGGAACCAGGGGACCCAAUGCAGCUGAAAAGUUUUUAAUACCCAAUGUAUAAAUCAUCUAGAAAAAAUGAGUGAAAGAAAUACAGAAAAAAAACUUUUGUUCCCAUAUCAUCGAACACAUUGGCUUCAUUGUCCAUGGAAGCAGCGAUGCCAGCAUCGAGUUUAUUGGUCACUGGCAAUGACGAGCACAAGGGAAUAGGAGGCUAGUGUUGUCCUGUUGUUGCCUUCACCAUCGCCUAGCCGGGGUCGCUGCAAACUAAUGGGGACUUGCCAUUGCCUCUGGCCUAGCGCGUGCUGGGGCUGCCACCGCUGCCUGGGCGUAUAGCAG